rnacentral:lncRNA from 1 species
AUGCAGCAGAAGCCCUGUUUCGUUACCCACAGAAGCUGGAAGGAUUCCUUUUUUUAUGCAACCCUCUGUCUCAUGAACACCAAAAUGCUGCCUUCUACCCCACUGUCUAACAGAACUUUGGAUGAAACAGGCUCUUGAAGUCCAUCACCAGAUGUGCCUACAUUCCAGCAGUAAACGUCACUUUUCUGGUUUCUAUAAGAGCUCUUUGAGGUGGUUCUCCAUUGUCCAGCUUGGAGGCCAGAGUGGUUUGGUCAAUAGCCAGGAAGCUGGAAUUCUGCCAAAAGAGUUCAGGGAACGUAGAUCUUCACUGUUGUUGAGCGAAGGCAGUGGAAACGGAGCUUUUCGGUUUAUGGAAGAACAUCAGCACAUUCUCCUCAGUAGGAUGCCAGACUCCAGGUCUCUGUGGAAGGUCAGCUCAGCUCCUUGUCUAGAUGCAACACUGUCCAAAGAAAAAGACAGCAGGAAUUUGAAACAGUUUUCAAGACAGCGAUUGAACAUGUACACAGUGAGAAGUGAA